rnacentral:rRNA from 1 species
AGUGAACGCUGGCGGCAGGCCUAACACAUGCAAGUCGAGCGGCAGCGGGUUCCCGCGAGGGGAUGCCGGCGAGCGGCGGACGGGUGAGGAACACAUCGGAAUCUGCCUGGUUGUGGGGGAUAACGUAGGGAAACUUACGCUAAUACCGCAUGCGACCCUGAGUCGACGGACUGGGGGUGAAAGUGAGGGACCUUCGGCCUCACGCGACCAGAUGAGCCGAUGUCGGAUUAGCUAGUUGGCGGGGUAACGGCCCGCCAAGGCGACGAUCCGUAGCUGGUCUGAGAGGAUGAUCAGCCACACUGGGACUGAGACACGGCCCAGACUCCUACGGGAGGCAGCAGUGGGGAAUCUUGGACAAUGGGCGCAAGCCUGAUCCAGCCAUG